rnacentral:rRNA from 1 species
UACGUAGGGAGCAAGCGUUGUCCGGAAUCAUUGGGCGUAAAGCGCGUGUAGGCGGUUACAUAAGUCUGGUGUGAAGGUCGGAGGCUCAACCUUCGAAAGCCGAUGGAUACUGUGUGACUUGAGUACGGAAGAGGAGAGUGGAAUUCCUGGUGUAGCGGUGAAAUGCGCAGAUAUCAGGAGGAACACCAACGGCGAAGGCAGCUCUCUGGGACGUUACUGACGCUGAGACGCGAAAGCGUGGGGAGCAAACAGG